rnacentral:lncRNA from 1 species
AUAUAUAUUUUUAAGCAGGUCUGAGGAAUGAAUUAUCAACCAAGAUACUCCCCUUAGAUUUAGCCUAUCUAUGCUUUCAUCUCAGGACCCAGGUUAAAAACGCAAAUUCCUCUUCCCACCAAAUUAAAUUCCUGAAAGUAAGCCCAUCUUUUCAUUGGUCUAACCUUCCUCCAUAGGCCUCUGUGGUUCCACCAGUUCACUCUAAACCUGAAAACCUGGAACAACUGUGAAUAAAUGCCAGUGUUCCCCCUUUGACCCUUAUGCCUUACUGUCUCAUUUCUGCAGACAGAAUUCAUAAGGUUCACAACACUGGACAAAACUGAAGCAGACCUUAUAGGUAUACUCAGAGUUUCUGAAAACUCUUCAACUCUGUGUGAAUCUGUCUCCAUUUAUUUCAUGUGUUUUUAUAAACACUAGGGGAGCAAUAACCAUUUGGAAAGUUAAAUUGAUUUAACACAGUGAAAUCCACUUUUUUUUCAGUCUUGAAAUAACACUGGAUUUUGCUAUUCUGACCAUUUUGCUAACACUUCUCCUCAGCCCCCAGCACUCACUAGCCUCGCUGCUCCUCAGGUCCCCAUUACCUGCACUUCUCUCUUUCUAAUUUUCCAAACAACAAGAUUUUUAGUACAGAUAUUAUUCCAAGGGAUAAUGCUGGGGAAUACCGCAGCCAAACGAUCAAGGAAAUCAAAUGAAUUGAGAACAGAAGAGAGUGGAAAAGGAAAACUGAGAACACAGAUUCUCUAGGCCCCUCCAAAUUAAAGCUUAAAAAAUAGUACUUCACAAAAUGUCACAUUCAACCAUCAAUUUUAAAACACUUUUGUUGGACACACACUUUAAGCACCAUAGGGUGGGGAGGAGGCCCUGGGCUGGCCUGGGAAACCACAUCCUGCAGGUCCAGGCUGACCCCUGAGGCUCAGGCCUUUCUACUAAGGUAGUUAGAGAAACUUACAUCACUAAUCUUUCUUACCUUUCUCCAGGCAGCAGGAGGCCAUUUGAGGUCUGCAGUUAGGUCAGGGUGGUUAGGUCCACUCUUCCUCAGACACUGAGCCCGAUUUGGUG